rnacentral:lncRNA from 1 species
GGCGCAGCUUUAUACGACCGCAGAGGUUGAACCCUGAACGGUUGGGGCAAGUAUGGACACAACAUUCAAGCUAGAUUCAGCUCUAAAUUUGGAUUGUGAUUAAAUAGUUGACACAGCAUAGGUUUCUGACACAGAAUGAAUGUGUUCUAAUGAACUUAAAUUUUUUUGUUUUCUCUUAGAGCAAUUCACUAUGCUGUUGAAUAUUAAUCCUCUCAAAAAAUGUUUGAAGAAAUU